rnacentral:rRNA from 1 species
UCUGACCUCAGAUCAGGUAGGACUACCCGCUGAACUUAA